rnacentral:rRNA from 1 species
UGCCAUUCCCACAAAGCGGAGGAAAAGAAAAUAACAAUGAUUUCCCUAGUAACGGCGAGUGAAGAGGAAAAAGCUCAAAGUUGGAACCUAUUUGGCUUAGCUAAAUCGGAUUGUAAACUGUAGAAGUGUUUUCCUGACACGCCAGAUAAAUAAGUCCUUUGGAACAGGGCAUCAUAGAGGGUGAGAAUCCCGUCUUUGGUCUGAGCAGUUGUCUUUUGUGAUACAUUUUCAAAGAGUCAGGUUGUUUGGGAAUGCAGCCUAAAUUGGGUGGUAAAUCUCACCUAAAGCUAAAUAUUUGCGAGAGACCGAUAGCGAACAAGUACCGUGAGGGAAAGAUGAAAAGAACUUUGAAAAGAGAGUUAAACAGUAUGUGAAAUUGUUAAAAGGGAACCGUUUGGAGCCAGACUGGCUUGACUGUAAUCAAUCUAGAUCCUUCUGGAUGCACUUGCAGUUUAUGCCUGCCAAUGACAAUUUGUUUUGAGGGAAAAAACUGGGAAGAAUGUGGCCCCUUUUGGGGUGUUAUAGCUUCUUAGAAAAUACCUUGGAGCGGAUUGAGGAUCGCAGUGAAUGUCUUUUAGGCAAGAUUGCUGGGUGCUUUUGCUGAUAAAUGCUAGAAUUUCUGCUUUUAGGUGGUGCUAGUGUUUAAAGGCAAAACUCGCUUAGUAUAUUUUUUAUUCGCUUAGGUUGUUGGCUUAAUGACUCUAAAUGACCCGUCUGACACACGGGAGCACACA